rnacentral:rRNA from 1 species
UACGUAGGGUGCAAGCGUUGUCCGGAAUUAUUGGGCGUAAAGAGCUCGUAGGCGGUGUGUCGCGUCGGCCGUGAAAACCUGGGGCUUAACUCUGGGCGUGCGGUCGAUACGGGCAUCACUGGAGUUCGGCAGGGGAGACUGGAAUUCCUGGUGUAGCGGUGAAAUGCGCAGAUAUCAGGAGGAACACCGGUGGCGAAGGCGGGUCUCUGGGCCGAUACUGACGCUGAGGCACGAAAGCGUGGGGAGCAAACAGG